rnacentral:rRNA from 1 species
UACGUAGGGUGCAAGCGUUGUCCGGAAUUAUUGGCGUAAAGAGCUCGUAGGCGGUUUGUUGCGUCGGCUGUGAAAUCCCGAGGCUCAACCUCGGGUCUGCAGUCGAUACGAGCAAACUAGAGUGUUGCAGGGGAGACUGGAAUUCCUGGUGUAGCGGUGAAAUGCGCAGAUAUCAGGAGGAACACCGGUGGCGAAGGCGGGUCUCUGGGCAACAACUGACGCUGAGGAGCGAAAGCGUGGGGAGCGAACAGG